GAUGAAGAACGUAGCGAAAUGCGAUAAGUAAUGUGAAUUGCAGAAUUCAGUGAAUCAUCGAAUCUUUGAACGCACAUUGCGCCCGCCAGUAUUCUGGCGGGCAUGCCUGUUCGAGCGUCAUUACAACCCUCAGGCCCCCGGGCCUGGCGUUGGGGAUCGGCGGAGCCCCCCGUGGGCACACGCCGUCCCCCAAAUGCAGUGGCGGUCCCGCCGCAGCUUCCAUCGCGUAGUAGCUAACACCUCGCGACUGGAGAGCGGCGCGGCCACGCCGUAAAACACCCACCUCUUCUGAAGUUGAUCUCGAAUCAGGUAGGAAUACCCGCUGAACUUAAGCAUAUCAAUAAGCGGAGGA
rnacentral:misc_RNA from 1 species